rnacentral:rRNA from 1 species
AACGAACGCUGGCGGCGUGCCUAACACAUGCAAGUCGUGCGAGAAAGUUCCUUCGGGAGCGAGUAAAGCGGCGCACGGGUGAGUAACACGUAGGUAACCUGCCCCCCAGUCUGGAACAACUAGAGGAAACUCUAGCUAAUGCCGGAUGAGACCACGAUCCCUUCGGGGGUUGCGGCCAAAGAUGGCCUCUACUUGUAAGCUAUCGCUGAGGGAUGGGCCUGCGGGCCAUUAGCUUGUUGGUGAGGUAACGGCUCACCAAGGCUGUGAUGGCUAGCUGGUCUGAGAGGAUGACCAGCCACACUGGGACUGAGACACGGCCCAGACUCCUACGGAGGCAGCAGUGGGGAAUAUUGCGCAAUGGGCGAAAGCCUGACGCAGCGACGCCGCGUGGGUGA